rnacentral:tRNA from 1 species
GGUGGCUCAAUGGUAGAGCACUUGCCUUGCAUGCAUGAAGCCCUGGGUUCGAUUCCUCAGCACCA